rnacentral:rRNA from 1 species
UCUAGUGACGAUGGCAAAGAGGCCACACCCGUUCCCAUCCCGAACACGGAAGUUAAGCUCUUUUGCGCCGAUGGUAGUUGGGGGUUUCCCUCUGUGAGAGUAGGACGUCGCUGGGC